AUUUUUUACAGUGUAAAUCAGAUUUAUGAACAUGUUAAAGCUCUAUCUCUGUCUCUGUCUGUCCGUGGGUCACAGACACAUCGAUAUGUACAUUACCAUCUGUCACCUUCAUCCUCGCUGAGGGAUUUGAAAGUGCUGAGUGUGGUCUAAUCCACAGCCCUCAUCUUAGUGAGCGACGCCGCAUAACCAACCUGGCAUUUACUGCCUUCACACCACCAACUCCUGUGGCCCAACUCAUGUUGACGGGCCAGUCAUACGGUGUCAUUGUGAGAAUCUCAAUCUUGUGUGUGUCUUCAUCUCAUCUAAAAGACUAAUCGUCUUCAAGACUACAGAAUCUACUGCACCAAAUUGCUCUAAAAUGGCUGAAGCUGAUGGAGCAGAGGGCAGCCAAGACCUGGAGGCUCCAGCGGAUAACGAGCUGGAUGACGAAUACAGAGCCUUGCUGCAUUUCGGCAAAUACAACGAAGCUCGACGUGCGCUGCCUCGGGAGCAGUGGACCUCCAGGGAAAAGGCAAACUAUUACUUAGACCGCUUCUUCCUGGGGUUUUUGGUCCUUUUUUCGCUCGUGUUGCUGGGAGAAUGUUGCUAUAAAAUGUGGUAUGUGACAAACGUGAAGAAGAUCGUGGAGUUCGUGUCAGAUUCUGUGAUCUUUUUGUUCGACUGGCUCCUCAAACAGGAGCGACACGAGGAGCUGGCCGAGUUGUAGGUCGUCGAAGAAGUCGAUUCCAUUGUUGGGUCACCACUUUUCGGAGGUCUUCUAUAACAUUUAAAGCACACGUGGUAUCACAGCUCCUCACUAAAUAAUCCAUUUAUAGCUACAGCUUAACGAGAGGAAAUGACUGGACAUCCUCCAUACUCCAUACUUUCUGUUAGUGACUUGAUGGAAAUAAACACAAUAAUAUGCAA